AGCCCAAGACCGUUUCCUUUAAAAGGUUUUCAUUUAUUAGUCUUUUCUGAAGCAGUUAAUUCUCUUUCUUAUUUUUUAAAAAAAUGUGUUCCAUCCAGAGUUAUACCAGAGUGAUUAAAAUGAAAUUUCUACUGAGUUACAGCUCCCCAGAUCAGCACAAAAAUAAAACCCAAAGAGAACAUCAACAAUCAAACAUAAUCCCCAAAUAUCCAGGACAAAAAAUAAAAUAUUUAUUGAUCUAUCACAGCGAGACACAAAGAAAUGGGGGGGGUGAGACAUGCUCUGUAGUUACGGUGGCUCAAGGGAGGGUCGGGGUGCAGUACUGCGUGUGGAGAGAUCCGGGCUGGGAGGGCGGAGUCCUGUUCCCCCAGCCCGCAUGGCCCCUCACACCCUGGGCUAGCGUUGGGGUGUGGGGGGGGUUGGGGGCUGGUUGCAGGCUGCCACGACAGGUGUGCUCAGCCAGUUAGAGGCACUGGGCAGUGGACUGGCGACGAGGCUGGGAGGAUGGGAGGAUGGACAGACGGGCAGGUGGCUCCAUGAGAGCAAGGGGGCCAUUCCCAGUGUUGUAUGUAUGGGGUCUUCUGACACGAAGGUGCCCCGGAUGUGGGGAACAGCCACGGGCAGAGGGGAGGGGACAGAGUGACUGAAUCCAGCUUUAGGUUUCCGGUGCUUGGGUACCAACUGGACCGCAGCCAGGGGUGGCUCCUGAUGGGCAGGGGGAGGGUGUCCCCAGGGCUCCCCUUCCCUCCUCCUCCCCAGGAAGACGAGAGCACCAGGGUGUAGCACCAAUUUUCCCAGAGAUGGAGACUGUGGGGGGAACUCCCAGGUGGGAAGGGGCUGCGGAGGAGCUGAGCCCACCCACUCAGGGCCUCUGAAGUGGGGCCUCGCGGUUGGGGCCCAUGGCCACCCUGCUCUUGUUUUCUUGUCCUGUCCCGAGGCCGCCUCCCGGGUGGGGAUGGGUGGGUGGGGUUUCUGAGGGUCUACAUUCUCCAGCCAAGCAGUAGCACCAACGUUGAUGAGGUCGAGAGUCAGGGGUCCCCCCGGAAGCUCACUUCCUCUUCCGGCCACAGGAUUUCCCCAAGCAGGGGGCCACCUGGGUGGCAGUGGGGGACAGGAGUCAGUUUGGGCCUUCUGGAGUGCAUCUCAGCCCCUGGCUGCUCUGACCACUUCCGAGAGGCCAAGGGGAUGCCAAGAGGAGCCAGGCCCCGGCCCAGGGCACACACUGACCACUGCCCCAACUCUCAGGGUGUCCCAGAUAUCUCUGGUCAGAUGGGGAUUCAGAGAUGGAAGGGGCCAGGUCAUGGGCAGGGUUGGGGUCUGGAUGGGUGGGAAGACUUUGGGAAAGGACUCAGAGCAGCCCCUCUGGGUAGACCCCCAUUCUCUUUUCUUUUCUUUUUUCUUUUUUGAGACAGUCUCACUAUAUAGUUCAGACUGUGCCUUGACCUGACUAUGUAGACUAGUGUGGCCUCAAACUGGAGCCUCCUGAAUGCUAGGACUACAGGUGUGCACCACCACACCUGGUUUAGACCCUAAUUUAAAGGCCAAGGCAUCAGAUCAGUAAGCAGAGACCCAGAGAGAGUGGGAGAGGGUCUUAUCCAUAUCAGGAAAGGCCAGGUAGGAAGAGAAACCCAGGAUUCCUGGGCCCUUCUGGUCAGGGUCUGAUUGGCAAAACUGUCAGCUAUCUAGGGAGCGGAGCCUGCCUGGUGCACCGCUUGCCUGGCUCCAGCCACUUGAGGCUCAUUCCUGCCACCUGGUGGCAGUGAGCAGUGGGUGCACAGUUUGGGAAGCAGUGGGCAUCCCCUGGGGCGGGGAUGGAGACCUGGAACCCUUUGGUGUUGUCCUUGGGCUUCUUGCCCCUGGCCUCAGCUGCCUUACUCCCAGAGUGGGAAGCAGGUGGGGGCAGAGGGAAUCCAUCCUGAGUGACCACAGGGCAGAGUAGUGGCGGGGGCUUGGCAGCAGCUCAGGAGCUUGGGGCACCCUGGCCUGGCCUACCCCUGUAGAAGGGGUGGGUGGCCUCCAGCCCCAUCUGCCCACUUUCUAUUAGGGUCUGGGGCCAAAUAGGUGUCCCUCCGCCAGCCCAGGCGGGCAGACACUGUCCCCACUCCUGCCUUUGCUCCUCAAAUACUCACCUUGGUAUCCGAGGGCUCCAAGGGCGCCCAGGGCCCCUCCCGUAGGGCUUGGGGGCUUCCCUGUGGAGGGAGAGGGGGGGGGGGGAUGGGGAGGACGCACCCCAUUUCUCCCUGUCCUGUCUCAUCAGGGUUCCCAAGGCCGUCCAGCCCGGACCUCUCUCAUCCAGCCACCGGCCUCCUCCCUCUUACAAGGGGCCAAGACUGAGGCCUUUCCAUGGCUUAGCCCCAGCCUGCCAGUCAGACGGUACACACUUGAGGUCCAGGCUUAGCUCCCAGCCGACCCCUGCCCCUCCCAGUCCCUCCAAGUUCCUUCCUUGCUUCCUUCCUUCCUUCCUUCCUUCCUUCCUUCCUUCCUUCCCUU
ensembl:lncRNA